AUUGAACGCUGGCGGCAGGCCUAACACAUGCAAGUCGAACGAGUGGCGGACGGGUGAGUAAUGUCUGGGAAACUGCCAGAUGGAGGGGGAUAACAAGUGGAAAGGGUAGCUAAUACCGCAUACCAUCGGAUGUGCCCAGAUGGGAUUAGCUAGUAGGUGGGGUAACGGCGCACCUAGGCGACGAUCCCUAGCUGGUAUGAGAGGAAGACCAGCCACACUGGACCUGAGACACGGUCCAGACUCCCACGGGAGGCAGCAGUGGGGAAUAUUGCACAAUGGGCGCAAGCCUGAUGCAGCCAUGCCGCGUGUAUGAAGAAGGCCUUCGGGUUGUAAAGUACUUUCAGCGGGGAGGCGUUACCCGCAGAAGAAGCACCGGCUAACUCCGUGCCAGCCGCCGCGGUAAUUC
rnacentral:rRNA from 1 species